GUGUUCCCUUUAUUUUUUUUUUAGCAGUGUACAUCAUUGUUUAAUUAUUAAAACUACUAUAAAAUGACAGCUGAAAUAGCUCCGUGUCACUUUUUUAUAAUCUGUCAACAUGUCCAUUUCUGAGUGAGUGAGCGUCAGCAGCACGCUGCGCAUGGGCAUUACGUCCUUACACCUUACAUACUUACCAGGCGGAAGAAAAAGUAGUUCCCAUUAACAAMGUUUCAUUUAGGCAAGAUCUCAAUAAUUUAGUUACUUUCUAACGUGCUCUUGUUAAUCUACAUUAUCUCAAAUUACUAAAAUGUUGAAAGUAUUGAUCCUUGGAUCUGACAAUAGAUUUUAAAGAAUUAAGUUCUGGUAUCGGAAGAAUCGAUAUUUCAGUAUCAAUCCGCACAUCACUAACGGCAACGCCAGAGAUCAUUUAACUGCCCUGAUUAACGGUUAAUUCAGUUGUAACAGCCUAACUAAGCUUUUAUCUACUGUACUUUUAUAAGAUUUUCUUUUGGCAAAUUCUCUAAUCUCGGUUGGACAUGGAUGAAGAUGGAGGACUUUUUUACGUGUAUAGACCCUACAGCUGCUGUACUCAGAGGUAAGUUUAAAGUUGUCUGUCUUUCUAAGAUAAGCUAACUGAAGCUAGUUAGCAUGUCGUGAUAUGCCAAUUUUCAUCCGCGGUUAAAGAGCCGCUCUUGUGAAUAUGAGCUUUGAACCACAAUAGAUGUGGCUUAAAAAUAAUAUCGACACGAGUUCUUGGUAGCUUCCGUUUUUUAACAUAGCUAAGAUGGCUUCUCAUUCGUAGCUUCUGAUUCGGGAAAUGGUUAAAGGGCAAUUCCGCCUAGUAUUUCACUAACUGAGGGUGUUUGAUGUGCUGUAAUUUAAAAACUUAAAUGCAAUGAGUCUAAUAGCCUAGGUUAGAUAUUCCACACUGUUACCAGGAUAUUUUAAACACUAUUUUUAAUUGGUGAAUUUAAGUAGUAGUUUGAUUUAAUUAAAAUGACUUUCUUGCCAUCUUGAAUUCAUGUAAUAUUGUAAUUGAGCACAUGAACUAAAAUAAGACUUGUUUUAUUUUUCAAGUAAACCAAACUGUUGCCAUGGUGAAGCCUAUGCCGGAUAAGUCUCCAAUCACGUAUUGCACCAUCUACAAGAAACUUUGAAACUUUGGGAAUUGCAAGUGACGGAGUCCUUCACAUUCUUGAGCAGAUGACCCAACAACUUCAAACAAGACCACUUUUCAGCUCUGCGGUGAUCGUGAAACCAACUUUCUACUGGCCAUUGGAACCAUGCCUGCCCUGAUCUUCUGAAAGGAGGACAUCACAGCUACUACACCUUUCAGCAUGCUUGUCUGUGGCCACUCCUCUCUGUGCUGCUGACAGAYGUCUUGAGAACGGCGUCCGUAACUGAGGCAAGACUUCCACAUAUAAAAGGCUAUGGCUUAUUGGAAGAAGUUCAUUGCGGAGGAAGCUCCUAUUGUUGACAUCUAAUCCCAAGAUUUUUCUUUGCUUUGGACAAUUUGGUUUGCUUGACUCUUAGGGCAUCUUAUGAGUGCGGCAGAUGUGUCAGAUCGUCAUUDUUCUGUCAUUUUACAGGAUUGUUCCAGAAUCAGAUGCCCAUCCAGACUUUAAAUUCUGGCCAGUAGUCAUGUUUUAUUUUGUUUAUGUGAAACUUAAAUGUAAUAAAGAUGUUAAAAGUAA